AUGGUUGCAAGGUUCCAGAAGAAAGGAGAGGCAACCGUGUGUGAGAGUGAACCCAAGCGUGCUGCCCCCGGAUGACAGGACUGGAGUUGACAGAAACCACAGGGAGGCUCCUGGCAGGCUCUGCCCCGUGGUUCUGGACCUGCCAGGCCGGGCACAAGGUACACGAGGGCAUGCCCUCCCAGGCCACUUUC